UACGGGGGGGGCAAGCGUUGUUCGGAAUUACUGGGCGUAAAGGGCUCGUAGGCGGCCAACUAAGUCAGACGUGAAAUCCCUCGGCUUAACCGGGGAACUGCAUCUGAUACUGGAUGGCUUGAGUUUGGGAGAGGGAUGCGGAAUUCCAGGUGUAGCGGUGAAAUGCGUAGAUAUCUGGAGGAACACCGGUGGCGAAGGCGGGUCUCUGGGCCGAUACUGACGCUGAGGAGCGAAAGCGUGGGGAGCGAACAGG
rnacentral:rRNA from 1 species